UCUUCUGCAGCGGUAAGUUGAACAAUUUUGCAUUGAACGCGCAGUUACAUAUUUUAUAUAGGGUUAUUCAUUUGAGUGUCUCAUUCUUAUGAAUGGUGUGUCCUCAUCGUGAUGAUUUUGUCUUCCCCCAUUUUGACCGAAAGUAUUUAUUUGCUUCUGAUUGCAGUCCCGUUUCCAAUGAUCCAUUGUGAAGCAGAAUUCACCAAGCGUUGGAUUGUUCACCCACUAAUAGGGAACGUGAGCUGGGUUUAGACCGUCGUGAGACAGGUUAGUUUUACCCUACUGAUGAGUGUCAUUGCUAUAGUAAUUCUGCUCAGUACGAGAGGAACCGCAGAUUCAGACAUUUGGUAUAUGCGACUCGUUGAUAAGCGAAUGUUGCGAAGCUACCAUCUUUGGGAUUAUGGCUGAACGCCUCUAAGUCAGAAUCCCGCCUAGAAGCGAUGAUUAUUUGGGACUGGCAGUGCAUGGAGCUGGUAGAGAUAAAUCGAUGCCAAAGCAUAGUGUUUUCGGUGGGUCAAUAGGGUUUGAAUUGAAAUAAUCUUGAGUGUAAUUUUGCGCCCUAGAGUACGGGAAAAGACUCCAAUUUUUUCGGCCGUUAGGCCGAAAAAUGCAUUUUGACCGCAGGUCGAAAUGCUGCUACCCGGCGCGAUUUCGACCGCAGGAGUUUUCGCAAACUUUUUAUGUUUGUCCUGCGGUCGAAAGGGGAAUUUGGGCGUUUAACUUUGAGAAACUUUUAAAGUUUUUCUUAGCAGGAAUGGCGCGGAAAAGUUUUUCAUAGUUGCUCCCGCCGUUGGAAGAAAUGACAAAUUUCGACUCCAAACGACGUCUGUCGGCGGAUGUAACAAUGACUCUCUUAAGGUAGCAUGUUUCAUGCAAGUAUCUAUUCGAUUUCUCAAAAAAAUGACAAUCAAGUCACUUAAAAAGAUGUCGGACAGAUACUCGCACUUUAUAUCUUUAGAGUUCAAUAGUUGCUCCCGCCAAAAGUGUUUAAAAUUUUUUUCAAUUUUGAGAGGACUCUCGAAUUCAUUCAAAUUUGAAAAUUUCAAUGCUUUUAGCAUUCAAUAGUAAAUUAGAGUGAUUGCAAUUGAGCAACACUCGCUAGUUGGGCGUCGAUGCGAGUUUACUCGUAUUCUUCGUCAGUGUGCAGCGCUUUUCACAGGGCGCUUGUUACACUAUAAAUAGCUAUCUGGUUGAUCCUGCCAGUAGUCAUAUGCUUGUCUCAAAGAUUAAGCCAUGCAUGUCUAAGUACGGCUCUAGUACGGUGAAACUGCGAAUGGCUCAUUAAAUCAGUUUUGGUUCAUUUGAUCGUGAAAGUUACAUGGAUAACUGUUGUAAUUCAAGAGCUAAUACACGCUAAGAGUGUCGCUCUCUGGGCGGCGCGCUUUUAUCAGACCAAAACCAAUCACCUUCGGGUGUUCAUUGUGGUGAGUCUGGAUAAACUAGCUGAUCGCAUGGUCUCGAACCGGCGAUGGAUCAUUCAAGUGUCUGACCUAUCAACUGUCGAUGGUAGCGUAUUGGGCUACCAUGGUUGUAACGGGUAACGGAGAAUUAGGGUUUGGUUCCGGAGAGGGAGUCUGAGAAACGGCUACCACAUCUAAGGAAGGCAGCAGGCGCGCAAAUUACCCAUUCCCGACUCGGGGAGGUAGUGACGAAAAAUAACAAUUCAAGACUCUUAACGAGGCCUUGAAGUUGGAAUGAGUACACUUUAAAACUUUUAACGAGUAACUAUUGGAGGGCAAGUCUGGUGCCAGCAGCCGCGGUAAUUCCAGCUCCAAUAGCGUAUACUAAAGUUGUUGCGGUUAAAAAGCUCGUAGUUGGAUCUUGGAAUGUGUUCAAGCGGGUCAGCUUCUGGCUGUUCGCUGCUUGACGUGUUCUUCUAUUUGGUUUUGGUGCGAAGCGCUUAACUGCGUGUCGCUCCCGGC
rnacentral:ncRNA from 1 species